rnacentral:lncRNA from 1 species
CUCUGUAAGCAAACCUGCUACUUUUCUGAAAGUACUGUCCGUCUUCUUUACUUGACAUGAUGAUACAGAAUGAGCCCCUGGUCUGCAAUGCUCUGUUAUUUCUCCACAAACUCUGAAGUAGUAGUCAUACUCAUCUGUACUCACUUUUAUGUCUUUACUGGAAAGUGGCUUCAGAUUAUAAACAUGACCAUAUCUUGGAUCUUUCACCUGGCAAUCUUCUCCUUCUGCUUUGUGAACAGGACAGGCUGCCAAGGUUCUCCAAACAAAUACAAACUCACAGUUGUCUUCUUG